UACAGAGGUUUCAAGCGUUGUUCGGAUUCAUUGGGCGUAAAGGGUGUGUAGGCGGCGCGGUAAGUCGGGUGUGAAAUCUCGGAGCUUAACUCCGAAACUGCAUUCGAUACUGCCGUGCUUGAGGACUGGAGAGGAGACUGGAAUUUACGGUGUAGCGGUGAAAUGCGUAGAUAUCGUAAGGAAGACCAGUGGCGAAGGCGGGUCUCUGGACAGUUCCUGACGCUGAGGCACGAAGGCCAGGGGAGCGAACGGG
rnacentral:rRNA from 1 species